GUCUAGAGAGGCAACUAUAUCCCCAAAGCAUAAGAGUUUAUACCAGAAGGAAACUGAAAAUACAGUUUCUCAGUAGUUCAGUAUCUCUGCUAUUAAAAGUAAAUGAAAAAGAAAGUGAAAGGGGUUGAGAAAGCAGGGCAGUUGCUAGAAGAAAGGAAAGUUUUAAAAAAGCAAGCUUUGCAACCUGUCAAAAUAAGUUACAUCCUACCUAGCCUUACAGGAAAGUAAAGUUUUUAAUGUGUGAAGUGGAGCAGAGCUUCAAGGCAAAAUAAUAUGAAUCCAGUCGGUGGAAUUCCUAAGAUUAUCGAUGGAAAAGAAUGUGGCCAAAUUGCACUGAAACCAGCCCUGAAAUGCAAGUACAAGAUGUGGAAAGUGGAAGUGAAAAGAAGAAAAGAACUUUUAGAACUUAGCAUAUGGUCCAAAGGCUCAUGACUGGAUUCACAGGUGACUUUAGUCAAAGUUUCAGCAUUUAGCAUUGAUUUCUGUAACAUUUAUAAAUGGGAUUACUAAAAUAACAAGGCUAACCAAAAUAUAAUAAUUAGUGCUUCAUUAAGUUAGUAUGAGCCUGCUAAAUUAGCAUCUCUGACAUAAUAAUCAUGUACCUUGGUCUGUA
rnacentral:lncRNA from 1 species